ACGCAAGCCCUCCAGCAAGGUGCAGACCGGAGUCUGUGCCUCGUUCCCUGGGGCGAUAGCUACUGCUGGAGGGUUUUGCAUUAUCCGUAUCUGGAUAACACGUCCCCCAGCUAUACCU
rnacentral:snoRNA from 1 species